UGAAGAAACCACAAUUCACCCUACUGACC
rnacentral:piRNA from 1 species